rnacentral:lncRNA from 1 species
UAAAUACGAAGACCCAUAAACAAUAAACAAAUUAGGACAAGAAAGAGUUACAAAAAUGCAAUAACAAUCAUCCUACAAUACUCACCAAUCUACAAACAAAAAAGCAUAUUCCCUGCAAGCAAUAAACCUAUUAAGGUGAGAUAACUUGUUGAGGGUGAUGAUAACCUCUUAGUUCAAUCUAUUAUAUAUUACUAAACUAAUUUCACAUCUAAGGGGGCGUUUGUUUUUGGGAAACACAAAUUAUUUCCAGGAAUAACAUACCCGGGAAUGAAAAUAUGAAAAUUUGAUUCUUGAGUAUUUGUUAAAAAAAGUGUUUGGCAAAUAACUUGACAUUCCUGAAAAAAUUGGAAGUUACAAUUUUUUUUUUAAAUCUAUGCAUAAUAUCAUGGGAAUGCACAUUCUCAUCUCUUUACAUGGGAAUAAUGGAAGUUAUGAGAAGUUACUCCAUUCCCAGGAACCUUUAUACCCAGGAAUAUUUUUUUCUCAACCUCAUAACAAACAUGGGUAUAAUCAUUCCCUAGUCAUGUAUUCCCGGAAAUGUCAUUCUUAACCUUGAAACAAACACCCCCUAAAAAAUUUACAAAUAUUGGAGCAGAGAAGGGAAAGAAGCUUUUUACCCUGGUUUCUUCACCGUAAACCUUUCGAACGUGCUUCCCCACCGAGACCUGAUACACCCC